rnacentral:rRNA from 1 species
GAUGAACGCUGGCGGCGUGCCUAAUACAUGCAAGUAGAACGCUGAAGGAGGAGCUUGCUCUUCUGGAUGAGUUGCGCACGGGUGAGUAACGCGUAGGUAACCUGCCUGGUAGCGGGGGAUAACUAUUGGAAACGAUAGCUAAUACCGCAUGACAACAGUUAUUGCAUGAUAACUGUUUAAAAGGGGCAACUGCUCCACUACCAGAUGGACCUGCGUUGUAUUAGCUAGUUGGUGAGGUAACGGCUCACCAAGGCGACGAUACAUAGCCGACCUGAGAGGGGGAGCGGCCACACUGGGACUGAGACACGGCCCAGACUCCUCCGGGAGGCGGCGGUAGGGAAUCUUCGGCAAUGGACGGAAGUCUGACCGAGAGACGCCGCGUGAGUGAAGAAGGGUUUCGGAUCGUGAAGCUCGGUUGCAAGAGAAGAAAGAGUGUGAGAGUGGAAAGUUCACACUGUGACGGUAUCUGACCAGAAAGGGACGGCUAACUACGUG